UACGUAGGGACCAAGCGUUGUUCGGAUUUACUGGGCGUAAAGGGCGCGUAGGCGGCGCGGUAAGUCACUUGUGAAAUCUCUGAGCUUAACUCAGAACGGCCAAGUGAUACUGCAGUGCUAGAGUGUGGAAGGGGCAAUCGGAAUUCUUGGUGUAGCGGUGAAAUGCGUAGAUAUCAGGAGGAACACCGAUGGCGAAGGCAGGUCUCUGGGCUGACACUGACGCUCAUGCACGAAAGCGUGGGGAGCAAACAGG
rnacentral:rRNA from 1 species